GAUGAAGAACGCAGCAAAAUGCGAUAAGUAAUGUGAAUUGCAGAAUUCAGUGAAUCAUCGAAUCUUUGAACGCACAUUGCGCCCGCUGGUAUUCCGGCGGGCAUGCCUGUUCGAGCGUCAUUUCAACCCUCAAGCCCCCGGGUUUGGUGUUGGGGAUCGGCUCUGCCCUUCUGGGCGGUGCCGCCCCCGAAAUACAUUGGCGGUCUCGCUGCAGCCUCCAUUGCGUAGUAGCUAACACCUCGCAACUGGAACGCGGCGCGGCCAUGCCGUAAACCCCAACUUCUGAAUGUUGACCUCGUAUCAGGUAGGAAUACCCGCUGAACUUAAGCAUAUCAAUAAGCGGAGGA
rnacentral:misc_RNA from 1 species